GGAGGGAUGGCUGAGCGGUUUAAAGCGGACGCCUUGAAAGCGUCUGUACCUUUACGGGUACCGGGGGUUCGAAUCCCUCUCCCUCCG
rnacentral:tRNA from 1 species